rnacentral:rRNA from 1 species
AGAGUUUGAUCCUGGCUCAGGAUGAACGCUGGCGGCGUGCCUAAUACAUGCAAGUCGAGCGAACCACUUCGGUGGUGAGCGGCGAACGGGUGAGUAACACGUAGGUGAUCUGCCCAUCAGACGGGGACAACGAUUGGAAACGAUCGCUAAUACCGGAUAGGACGAAAGUUUAAAGGUGCUUCUGGCACCGCUGAUGGAUGAGCCUGCGGCGCAUUAGCUAGUUGGUAGGGUAAAGGCCUACCAAGGCGACGAUGCGUAGCCGACCUGAGAGGGUGAACGGCCACACUGGGACUGAGACACGGCCCAGACUCCUACGGGAGGCAGCAGUAGGGAAUCUUCGGCAAUGGGCGAAAGCCUGACCGAGCAACGCCGCGUGAAUGAUGAAGGCCUUCGGGUUGUAAAAUUCUGUUAUAAGGGAAGAACGACUUUAGUAGGAAAUGGCUAGAGUGUGACGGUACCUUAUGAGAAAGCCACGGCUAACUACGUGCCAGCAGCCGCGGUAAUACGUAGGUGGCGAGCGUUAUCCGGAAUCAUUGGGCGUAAAGGGUGCGCAGGUGGUACAUUAAGUCCGAAGUAAAAGGCAGCAGCUCAACUGCUGUUGGCUUUGGAAACUGGUGAACUGGAGUGCAGGAGAGGGCGAUGGAAUUCCAUGUGUAGCGGUAAAAUGCGUAGAUAUAUGGAGGAACACCAGUGGCGAAGGCGGUCGCCUGGCCUGCAACUGACACUGAGGCACGAAAGCGUGGGGAGCAAAUAGGAUUAGAUACCCUAGUAGUCCACGCCGUAAACGAUGAGAACUAAGUGUUGGGGAGACUCAGUGCUGCAGUUAACGCAAUAAGUUCUCCGCCUGGGGAGUAUGCACGCAAGUGUGAAACUCAAAGGAAUUGACGGGGGCCCGCACAAGCGGUGGAGUAUGUGGUUUAAUU